rnacentral:lncRNA from 1 species
AUUGUUGGAAAAUUUCUCAAAAUUCAACAAAAAUCACUUUCUUCACCCUCUUUCCUUUGAUCAUAAUACUUUUCUCAAAAGCUCAACUCACUUUUCUAGAGUUACAAAAUCCCAAACCUAAAAAGAGUAGAAAAAAUAACUUUCAAAAUAGCAACACAUUUUUUUUUUUUUUUGUGUUUUGCUUUUUUUUUCUUCCUUUGUGAUGAUAGGUUGCUUUAAAAAAAAAGGUAUUGUUUUAGGGUUGCAUGGUUAUUUAGGUUUUCAAUAGUUCUUUCUGGGUUUGAGUUGUCAAAAGAAAACAAACUUUAGGUGUUUGAUUUUUUUUGUUGACCAUAUAUUUGGCUUGAAAGAUUUCUUUUGUUGGUUGUGGAUCCCCUUUCAUCCUCAUGUCUUUGUGAUUUUU